rnacentral:rRNA from 1 species
GUGUCAGCCGCCGCGGUAAUACGGGGGGGGCAAGCGUUGUUCGGAAUUACUGGGCGUAAAGGGUCUGUAGGUGGCCCGCUAAGUCACACGUGAAAUCCCUCAGCUUAACUGGGGAACUGCGUGUGAGACUGGCAGGCUUGAGUGCAGGAGAGGAACGCGGAAUUCCAGGUGUAGCGGUGAAAUGCGUAGAUAUCUGGAGGAACACCGGUGGCGAAGGCGGCGUUCUGGACUGUAUCUGACACUGAUAGACGAAAGCCAGGGGAGCAAACGGGAUUAGAUACCCCGGUAGUCC